rnacentral:lncRNA from 1 species
GUCUCCAGCCGACGGGGCGGUGCGGGAAGGGGGGGGAGGGAAACGCGAGUUGGUAAACAAGCUCGCGCACCUCGUGGUGCCGCGGGGCGGAGGCGAGCGGAGUCGCCGAGCGGGCACGACGCUGCUGCUGCUGCGAAGCUCUCCUGCCCGGGGAGGUAAGCGAGCGAGGGGUACGUCGGGGAGCGGCCCCCUUGCAUUUUGCAUGGCGGGUGGGUGGGUGAAGAGGGGGAGCGGUGAGGGGCGCGCUUGCGCCGGCGGGGAAAGGUGGGAGCCCAGCUUUUCCUCAGCGCGGCGCCCGUCCCCAUGCACGAGGCCCAAAAAGGGGGGGGGGGAGAAGCCCUUUCCAGUGGGCGACCUCUCCCUCUAAGCCAAAGGUCAGCAAACUUUUUCAGCGGGGGGCCAGUCCGCUGUCCCUCAGACCUUGUGGGGGGCCGGACUAGAUUUUGAAAAAUAAUAUGAAUAAAUUCCUAUGCCCCACAAAUAACCCAGAGAUGCAUUUUAAAUAAAAGGACACGUUCUACACAUGUCAAAACACGCUGAUUCCCAGACCGUCCGCGGGCCGGAUUGAGAAGGCGACUGGGCCGAAUCCGCCCCCGGGCCUUAGUUUACCUAUCCAUGCACGCACCCCUCCCUCCCCACGCAAAGGUUGGGAGGGAACCCGGUGGGGAGACCUUAAGUGGCGCCGGGCCAGAUGCGCUCGGUUAACGGGGGGGGGGGGGGAAGGCUUUCGGCUCCCUUUGCGGCCGCGCUCCGAGUCGCCCUCUCAAGUGCUUGCGGGUGGGAGAAGCGAGCGGGACGACCCCGGGGCUGCACGUCGGUGCCGCUGCCGCUAACGGGGAGUGGAAGGGCCGCAGCUCGCGCCGGAUACGGUCUUUGCAGCGCCGGAGCUGGAAACGGGAGGCGUGGCGCUCUUUCCUGCUUUUCUCGUCCGUGGGGCGGCAGCAGCAGCUGCUGCAACCCCCAUCCGUAUACCUUGUAUUUGUUAAUGUCCAUCAUCCCAAUCUGCAGCCCCUCCCCAAAUCUCCCCAGGCCUGCUCUUUUCUUUUUAUUGGACGGCGUUUUUCACUGUUAAAAUAUAUGUAGCGUAUUUCAAAUUGUCUGGUUGUCAGAUGGAAGGGCUCGGUCUGAAUCCAUUUUACACCCGCCAAGGAAAUGCUUAGAAAGCGUCGAUAGAAACAAAGAAGGCAAAACCACUAGAUCUGGAGGAUUCAAGCUGUGCAGGCCAGUAAGUAGGGGCGAGGAGAGAGGAGGAAAUUCUCUUUUGAAGUCCCCUUCCAGAAAACUAUUAGUUUGGUUUUCAGAAGCCACAUGCUAUGUGGCAGGCGAUCCUGAAUGCAAAAAGUAGCUAAAUUUCCCCCCAUAAACAUAUGGAACCAUUUUUCCUUGCUAGGUUAGGUUUCUUAAUUUUUUAUGCAUUCCUUUCCACCAAAAAGGCCACAAAGUGAUUGCAACUAAAGUAAAAAUGCUAUAAUAAACUCACAUAAACAUUACUGUAAAUAAAUUUAACCAUACACUAUAUUAUUACAGUACAAUAUAGUAAUAAUGAUAAUAUCAAAUGUCCCGAUGAUGUCCAAAUGACCUUGAAAACAAAAAUGUAUUUGUCACAGGCCUCCUUAAACAGUGGGCCUUCUUAAACAGAGGCUACUUCCAUAAUCAGGGCCUACUUCAGAGAAGGCCCAUUUUCUUGUCACCCUCCAGUUGUGGAGGUGGCAUGUAGAGAAGAGCUUCAGAUAAUAGCCUCUGGGUCCUGGCAGGUUCAUAUGGGGAAAGGUGGUCUUUUAGAUAUAGUGGUCCCGAAUUGUAUAAGGCUUUAAAGGUCAAAACCAGCAAUUGGUCCCAGAAACAAAUUGGCAGCCAACACAGUUGGGUCAGAACCAGUGUUUCCACCUUUAUGUUUUGGUUAACAAUUUACCUCUGCUAAGUAGUCCUGCACUAACUGUAGCGUCUGACCUGUCUUCAAAGGCAAUCCCACAUACAGUGCAUUGCAGUAGUCUAACCAGGAGGUAAUCAGAGCAUAGACAACUGAAAACCAGGUUAUCCCUGUCCAGGUAGGGUUGCAACUGUGCUGUUGGUCAAAGUUGCUAGAAGGCAUUCUGUGCCACUGAACACACUUGUGCCUCCACUGAUGGUGUUGGAUACAGAAGUCUCCCCAAGCUGCAUUCCACUAGUGCCACCCUUUCUCACUUCUGGCAUCUCCCACUCUGCCAACUUCCCACACUUUUAUUUGGGUUGUUCCCCCACCCCCAUUACUUGAGUGUUACAGAUUUGAAUUUGCCAGCUGUCUCUGUGCAACAUGUCCACCUUGAUCCUAAAGAUAAUAUGCACUAAGGCAAUCCUCUUUCCAGUCAGCCUGAUUAACCUUGCCUUGCUUCUGAGGUGAGCCAGCUCUGUACCAUUGACCCAGAGCUGCUUGUGUGACUUGGUGGCACAAGCCUAAAUACUCUGCAUUGCAAAAAGCCUCAGACAGAAAAAUGAAAGGUUUCUUUUGGUAUAUUGAAUAAAUGCAUAUUGAGAGUACAGUGGUACCUCGGGUUACAUACGCUUCAGGUUACAGACUCCGCUAACCCAGAAAUAGUGCUUCAGGUUAAGAACUUUGCUUCAGGAUGAGAACAGAAAUCG